GACGAACGCUGGCGGCGUGCUUAACACAUGCAAGUCGAACGGUGAAGCGCCUUCCUUUUUGGUGGGUGUGGAUGAGUGGCGAACUGGUGAGUAACACGUGAGUAACCUGCCCCCUUCUUCUGGAUAACCGCAUGAAAGUGUGGCUAAUACGGGAUAUUCUGGGUCUGUCGCAUGAUGGGUCUGUGAAAGAUAUUGUUUCGGUGGGGGAUGGGCUCGCGGCCUAUCAGCUUGUUGGUGGGGUGAUGGCCUACCAAGGCGGUGACGUGUAGCCGGCCUGAGAGGGUGGACGGUCACGCUGGGACUGGGACACGGCCCGGACUCCUACGGGCGGCAGCAGUGGGGAAUAUUGGAAAAUGGGAGCAAGGCUGAUGCAGCGACGCCGCGUGACAGAUGGAGGCCUUCGGGUUGUGAACCUCUUUCGCCAGUGACGCAGGCCUGCCUCGUUUGUGCGUGGGUUGACGGUAGCUGGAUAAGAAGCGCCGGCUAACUACGUG
rnacentral:rRNA from 1 species